UGUGUGUGUGUGUGUGUGUGUGUGUGUAUAGAUAGAGAGAGAGAGGGAAAUUCACACACACACACACACACACACACACACACA
rnacentral:miRNA from 1 species